ensembl:lncRNA
GUCCUUGAGAAUUAGAGAUGGAUGCAGCUCCUUGGACUCGUGGAGGUGGAUGGAACCUCAGAUCAUGCGCUCUGCCACUUUACAGAUGAGUGAUUGGCCCAGGGAGGCCAUGGGACCUGCCCGUGGAAGCAGCUGGGUUUAUGGGAACUGCAGACAGUUUUCCUACUUGGAUAUAUUAACUGCAGAAGGGGUGACCUUCACAUGGCCACAGCCUGUCAUACCAAACUGAUUAAAUAAGGGGACAGAGGAAGAGCCUUCUCCCAGAGCAUGGAUGCACAGUCCUGGAUUCCCCUUCCUCCUUGUUACUUCCAAAAGCUGUUAGGGUCCUGACUUCUUCCUCUCGUUUUGCAUUUGGACGAGCACACCGAGGCACCUGGAAAUUAAGGGUUUGUUUCAAGUUCUGCUUUUGGACUCAUAACAGCGCCCAGUUCCUGCACCCUUUGAAGGAUGUGUUUAAAUCACACAAACCAUGGGCUGUGAUCCUAAUGCAACUUGAUCUUUGCCUCCCUGUUCUGUGGGGCCAGCCCCUUCCCUUGCCAGUCAAUGACCCCCCGGGCCAGGUAGGGAAGAAGCCCUCCCAUGGUCAGUCUAAGCUAUAAAACAGGAGAAUCCCAGUCCCCCGGGAUAAUCAAAGGUCACCACCUGAUUUAAAGUCAUCAAACCCAUGCUUCCAUAGUGAGCUUGAUGCAGACAGGAAAUUCGGGGACGGGGGUGGGUAUCGUUCCCCUCUCUCUCCCUUGGCUAAGACCCUGUGCUCCCAAUGUGGGGGGCCCGGGUUCAAUCCCCGGUCAGGGAACUAGAUCCCACAUGCCACAACUGAGAGUUUGCACGCUGCAACUGUUAAAAGAUCCCACAUGCCACAACUAAGUCCCAGCACAGCCAGAUGAAUGAACAGAUAUUUUUACAAAGGAAUGAUGGAGCUGGGCACACACCACAGUGAUAAUCACCAAAGGACGGCAAAGUGAACGGGCACAAGUUAUGAUGAGAAACAGGGCUAGUCACAUAGUCCCAGGGGACUGCCUUCCGGGAUACUUCCCAGUGACAAAGGAAAGAACAGUAACUUUACGGUGGGGAAGCAGGAAGGUUGUACUUUGUCAAGCGACCAAAGUUAAGCUCCCCGGGUUGAGACAUACAAUGACAUCGGGUAUGUCCCAAU